GCCUCGGUGGUGUAGUGGUCAAGACGUUCGUCUGUUGAAUAGGAGGGCUUGGCUUCAAUCCCAGCCGAGGUA
rfam:Asian citrus Psyllid, Diaphorina citri - Florida Strain, whole genome shotgun sequence.